AGGAGGCACAACCAGUUAUUGUAGUUAAAGGAGGCACAACCAGUUAUUGUAUCUAAAGGAGACACAACCAGUUAUUGUAUCUAAAGGAGGCACAACCAGUUAUUGUAGUUAAAGGAGGCACAACCAGUUAUUGUAGUUAAAGGAGGCACAACCAGUUAUUGUAGUUAAAGGAGGCACAACCAGUUAUUGUAUCUAAAGGAGGCACAACCAGUUAUUGUAUCUAAAGGAGGCACAACCAGUUAUUGUAGUUAAAGGUGGCACAACCAGUUAUUGUAGUUAAAGGAGGCACAACCAGUUAUUGUAUCUAAAGGAGGCACAACCAGUUAUUGUAGUUAAAGGUGGCACAACCAGUUAUUGUAGCUAAAGGUGGCACAACCAGUUAUUGUA
ensembl:lncRNA